GCGAAACUGCGUGAUCUAUCCAUGGGCAGGUUGAAGCGCGAGUUAUAUCGCGUGGAGGACCGAACCCACUUGGGUUGAAAACCGAGGGGAUGACCUGUGGAGAGGAGUGAAAGUCUAAUCAAACGCAGAGAUAGCUCGUUCUCUCCGAAAUAUCUUUAGGGAUAGCCUCAAGUAACUACGCAGCGGGGGUAGAGAGACUGAAUUGGAUGGGG
rnacentral:rRNA from 1 species